UUAACUCAAAUUUGUAUGGAGUCGGAAUGUUUGCUUACGUUUGCCGCUAGGGGCGCUGUUUCAACUGCAUAGAAGCUUGAGUUA
rnacentral:pre_miRNA from 1 species